rnacentral:rRNA from 1 species
UACGGAGGGUGCAAGCGUUAUCCGGAUUCACUGGGUUUAAAGGGUGCGUAGGAGGGCAGGUAAGUCAGUGGUGAAAUCUCCAAGCUUAACUUGGAAACUGCCGUUGAUACUAUCUGUCUUGAAUACCGUGGAGAUGAGCGGAAUAUGUCAUGUAGCGGUGAAAUGCUUAGAUAUGACAUAGAACACCAAUUGCGAAGGCAGCUCGCUACACGAAAUAUUGACUCUGAGGCACGAAAAGCGUGGGGAUCAAACAGG